rnacentral:rRNA from 1 species
GAUGAACGCUGACAGAAUGCUUAACACAUGCAAGUCGAUUCGAUUUACCUUCGGGUAUUGAGGAUGGCGGACGGGUGAGUAACGCGUAAGGAACUUGCCUCUUGGUCUGGGACAACUGUUGGAAACGACAGCUAAUACCGGAUAUUAUGAGAUUCUCGCAUGGGAAACUUAUGAAAGCUAUAUGCGCCAAGAGAGAGCCUUGCGUUCCAUUAGCUAGUUGGUGGGGUAACGGCCCACCAAGGCGACGAUGGAUAGCCGGCCUGAGAGGGUGAACGGCCACAAGGGGACUGAGACACGGCCCUUACUCCUACGGGAGGCAGCAGUGGGGAAUAUUGGACAAUGGGCCACAAGCCUGAUCCAGCAAUUCUGUGUGCACGAUGAAGGUCUUCGGAUUGUAAAGUGCUUUCAGUUGGGAAGAAGAAAGUGACGGUACCAACAGAAGAAGCGACGGCUAAAUACGUGCCAGCAGCCGCGGUAAUACGUAUGUCGCAAGCGUUAUCCGGAUUUAUUGGGCGUAAAGCGCGUCUAGGCGGAAAAAUAAGUCUGAUGUUAAAAUGCGGGGCUCAACUCCGUAUUGCGUUGGAAACUGUUUUUCUAGAGUACUGGAGAGGUGGGCGGAACUACAAGUGUAGAGGUGAAAUUCGUAGAUAUUUGUAGGAAUGCCGAUGGAGAAGUCAGCUCACUGGACAGAUACUGACGCUAAAGCGCGAAAGCGUGGGGAGCAAACAGGAUUAGAUACCCUGGNAGUCCACGCCGUAAACGAUGAUCACUAG